rnacentral:rRNA from 1 species
GACGGGGGGGGCAAGUGUUCUUCGGAAUGACUGGGCGUAAAGGGCACGUAGGCGGUGAAUCGGGUUGAAAGUGAAAAGUCGCCAAAAACUGGCGGAAUGCUCUCGAAACCAAUUCACUUGGGUGAGACAGAGGAGAGUGGAAUUUCGUGUGUAGGGGUGGAAAUCCGCAAAUCUACGAAGGAAGGCCAAAAGCGAAGGCAGCUCUCUGGGUCCCUACCGACGCUGGGGUGCGAAAGCAUGGGGGAGCGAACAGG